CAUGGAGACAGCCAGCUAGCAACAGGCUCAGACCAUUCCACAGGAAACAGUAUUUGGUUGAGUCUGAACUCAUCUUAUAUUUGAAGAUGCUGGUGUGGAAGAUUAUAGUGAGGUUCACCUUCAAAUUUUAAGAUUUGAAGAAACAUAUGGAACACAAGCUAAAACAAAUGUAAAUGGAGGUCCUUGAGAAGCAGUCCUUUGACUUUCAGUACAUCAUAAACAGAAGGCAGCAGUGGAAAUUUUAUCAGGAGAAAUUGCACAAGCAGGGACUGGAAUGGUGUGCUGACCAGGAAGACCGCUUUCUUUGGGAAGCUGGAGAAGCAGUCCCUGACAGCUCCAAGGCUACUUGUAGCCAAACUAUUCCAAGAUCAUAAAGGAAAAGAAGUCCUCUCUCCCAGAAUUGGUUUCUUCUAAGGUCCAGAAGGCCCUUUUGAUUGGCCAAGCUUGGCUUGUGUGCCGACUCCUGUGGCCAGAGAAGUGGAGUCUUUAACCAGAGAAGGGAUAUCACACAGGUAUGGCCACCAGAGAAUUGUUGGGAGGCAGUCAAGUGCCCAGUGUGACCGGUGCAGAUUUGAAGAGCUAGGAGGCCACAGUAUGUGAUGUGGGAUUUAUUCAUUGGUUUUCAUUUCAGAUAUUUCAAAUGAAAUAAACUUCAGUUAGUUUUGUGAAUCUCAGUGUUGCAUGGGGCUUAGUAGGAGAAGCAAUUCCACAUAUGACUCAGUGCCUGCAUUCGGGGAGCUUAGAAUGUAAUGAUAGAGAUAAAGAGGCACCUGAAGUCCCAGCUGUAAACAAUACAACGGUUUUAGGGAAAGAGCUGAAAUCCUAAAGCUGAUGAAUAUGGAACUUGAAGGGUUACAUUGAUAA